rnacentral:lncRNA from 1 species
AACGUGUGUGUCUUACUCUGGAGUCAUGCUAACAUUAUAUGUAUUGGUAUCUAUUUCAUAUUAGUGUUCACGUGUAUUUUUAUAUGUAUUUUUGAACAUCCAGUAGUAUGCAUGUAUAUGUGAGUAUUAAUAUGCACGUGUUUUAUGUAUGUAUUCAUAAGUGAAGUUUGAUUUAAAUCCUACGCUGCACCUCAUAAGCACGUCCUAAAUGAUGUACAACAGAGACAGACUCCAGCCAUGUCCCACAGAGAGAAGAGAAGACUGUCCUGGACACACAGACUCACAGAGACCCCCGUCCAUCCAUUCAGGACACGAGAGUGCAACCGAUGAAGAAUGAAAACAGACUGAGAGAUGAGAGGAGGAAUCAGAAAGACACAUGAAAUGGAGGAGAGCAGACAGUGUGUGUGUGUGUGUGUGACGUCUGUCCGAACACAUGCUGUAAACACACACUGCAUCAUUCAUCUCAGAGUUUAGUGUCUGAAUCUAUCAGUCCUGAAUCUGAACUUUACAGAUGGGACACACCGUGAAUGGGAUUCAUGCACAGAUUUAUUAUUUCAAACCAGUAACGCUGUUUGUGCAGCGUUUAAAACAUUAAAGAGACUUUUUUUUUUUUACCUGAUCUAAUCAUCAACAGUUUUAUAAUAACAAUAGCAUUAGACAUAAUGAGAAAACAUCCUGUAAAAAAAAAAAAAAAAAAAAAACCUUAGUGCUCCAGGGCCCGUAUUCAUAAAGAAUCUUAAUGCAAGUAGCUCCUAGUGACAAAAUUCUAAGAAAAUUCUUAGAAAUGUGGGCGUUUACUCUUAAAAUUAAAGAAAAAAUCCUAGUAAAGAAAAAAGUAAUUCAGAAAGCAUCUUAACCCUUAAAAGAGGUCUUAAGGUCAAAAUUGUUAGGAGCACAGACGAGGACUUUUAAGAGGCUUAAGAGUUUCUUUAGCAGAGGAGAAAAUGGCAGAAAGACGAAGAGGCAGAAGAAAUGUGUUGCAGACAAUGGAUGACAGUGAGUUAAUAAGAUGCUAUAGAUUAGAUAGUGUCUAUCACAUUUUCUAACUGUUUUUAAAUUCAUUUUAAGUAAAUGUUUUAAUCAUUUUAAAAGUUUUAAAAUUGUUUGUUUUAUUUUUGUUACUAUUUUUCUUCAUGAUUAUUUUACUUUCUUUUAUGUAAAGCACUUU